rnacentral:rRNA from 1 species
GUGAGGAAUUUUCCGCAAUGGACGAAAGCCUGACGGAGCAAUGCCGCGUGAAGGAUGAAGGCCUAUGGGUUGUAAACUUCUUUUCUCAGAAAAGAAUUAUGACGGUAUCUGAGGAAUAAGCAUCGGCUAACUCUGUGCCAGCAGCCGCGGUAAGACAGAGGAUGCAAGCGUUAUCCGGAAUGAUUGGGCGUAAAGCGUCUGUAGGUUGUUUAAAAAGUAUUCUGUCAAAGAUUAGGGCUUAACCCUAGAUAGGCAGAAUAAACUUUUAAGCUAGAGUUUGGUAGAGGCAGAGGGAAUUCCCGGUGGAGCGGUGAAAUGCGUAGAUAUCGGGAGGAACACCAAAGGCGAAGGCACUCUGCUGGGCCAAUACUAACACUGAGAGACGAAAGCGAGGGGAGCAAAUGGGAUUAGAUACCCGUGUAGUCC